rnacentral:pre_miRNA from 1 species
AGUGGGAUAGCUGGGUGAAAUGGUGGUUCCAUUUCAAGUUUUACAAGGAAUCUCCAUACUGCUUUCCAGAUUGGUUGCUCCAAUUUGCAGUUCCACCAGCAAU